rnacentral:misc_RNA from 1 species
GAUGAAGAACGCAGUGAAAUGCGAUACGUAAUGUGAAUUGCAGAAUUCAGUGAAUCAUCGAAUCUUUGAACGCAUAUUGCGCUCUUUGGUAUUCCGAAGAGCAUGCUUGUUUGAGUAUCAGUAAACACCUCAACCUCUUCUUGAUUUUUCAAAAGGAGGGUGGACUUGAGCUAUCCCAACAACCUUUACCGGUCGGCUGGCGGCUUGAAAUGCAGGUGCAGCUGGACUUUUAUCUGAGCUAAAAGCAUAUCUAUUUAGUCCUCGUCAAACAGGAUUAUUACUUUUGCUGCAGCUAACAUAAAGGAUAAUUGUCCUCUUUGCUGACUGAUGCAGGAUUUUACGACACUUUAUGUGUUGUUCAACUCGAUCUCAAAUCAAGUAAGACUACCCGCUGAACUUAAGCAUAUCAAUAAGCGGAGGA